GCUACAUUACGUUGAAACGUCAGUUUCCGUAAGAUCACCGAAGUUAAGCAACGUAGAGUAUGGUCAGUACCAAGAUGGAUGAUCGUUUGGAAAUACUAGGUGCUAUA